rnacentral:rRNA from 1 species
GACGAACGCUGGCGGCGUGCUUAACACAUGCAAGUCGAGCGGUAAGGCCCUUUCGGGGGUACACGAGCGGCGAACGGGUGAGUAACACGUGGGUGACCUGCCUUUAGCUCUGGGAUAAGCCUGGGAAACCGGGUCUAAUACCGGAUAUGACUCCGCGGCGCAUGUUGUGGGGUGGAAAGCCUUGUGCGGCUGGAGAUGGGCCCGCGGCCUAUCAGCUUGUUGGUGGGGUGAUGGCCUACCAAGGCGACGACGGGUAGCCGGCCUGAGAGGGCGACCGGCCACACUGGGACUGAGACACGGCCCAGACUCCUACGGGAGGCAGCAGUGGGGAAGUCUUGCGCAAUGGGCGAAAGCCUGACGCAGCGACGCCGCGUGAGGGAUGACGGCCU